rnacentral:rRNA from 1 species
AUUGAACGCUGGCGGAAUGCUUUACACAUGCAAGUCGAACGGCAGCACGGGGCAACCUGGUGGCGAGUGGCGAACGGGUGAGUAAUACAUCGGAACGUGCCCAAUCGUGGGGGAUAACGUAGCGAAAGUUACGCUAAUACCGCAUACGAUCUACGGAUGAAAGCGGGGAUCGCAAGACCUCGCGCGAAUGGAGCGGCCGAUGUCAGAUUAGGUAGUUGGUGGGGUAAAGGCUCACCAAGCCGACGAUCUGUAGCUGGUCUGAGAGGACGACCAGCCACACUGGGACUGAGACACGGCCCAGACUCCUACGGGAGGCAGCAGUGGGGAAUUUUGGACAAUGGGCGCAAGCCUGAUCCAGCCAUUCCGCGUGCAGGAUGAAGGCCU